rnacentral:misc_RNA from 1 species
CUGGUUGUACUUGUCACGUUGUGUUUCAAUAAACUGUAAAUGGCUUAGUAUUAGUAAGUAUGCUAGUUUUAAGACUACGAUUUAGUUUGAAUUUCGAUUGUACUGUACUGAAAGAACUUUAAUUAUUUCUUGAAUUUGUUUAAGACUUUAUGCAAAAUUUGUAAAGCACUUACAACUUGUCGAAUAUCAAAAUGCCUAAAGAGAAAUCUAAGAAGAAAUCGAGACAACAUGAGCAGAUUCAGAAACAAGGUGUUCAAUUUAAUAGAGACCUUGGGCAACAUAUUCUGAAAAAUCCACUUAUUGUUAACAGUAUGGUGGAGAAAGCGGCUAUACGAUCCACUGAUGUCGUUUUAGAAGUAGGUCCAGGAACAGGCAACAUGACGAUAAAGCUCCUGGAUAAAUCUAAGCGAGUAGUAGCUUGUGAAGUCGACCCACGUUUAGUUGCAGAACUACAGAAGCGAGUUCAAGGAUCUCCAUCACAAAGCAAACUGCAAAUUAUUGUCGGAGAUGUUUUAAAAACCGAUUUACCUUUUUUUGAUGUCUGUGUUGCCAAUUUGCCGUAUCAGAUUUCUUCACCUUUUGUUUUCAAGUUACUUCUGCACAGACCGUUUUUUCGGUGUGCUAUUUUAAUGUUUCAGCGAGAAUUUGCCCAGCGCCUGGUAGCCAAGCCUGGUGACAAACUGUACUGUAGGCUAUCGGUAAAUACUCAACUCCUAGCUCGAGUAGACCACCUGAUGAAAAUUGGGAAAAACAAUUUUAGGCCUCCACCGAAAGUAGAAUCCAGUGUUGUGCGUCUUGAACCCAGAAAUCCACCACCUCCAAUUAAUUUUCAAGAAUGGGAUGGAUUACUACGAAUUUGUUUCAUUAGAAAAAAUAAAACUUUAGGUGCUGCUUUUAAACAGACCUCAGUACUGGAAAUGUUAGAAAAGAACUAUAAAAUUCAUUGUUCUGUCAAGAAUAUUUGCAUACCAAAAGAUUUCAGUGUUAAAUCAAGAGUGGAAGAGCUUCUUACAGCAAACAAUUUUGAUAAACAGCGCGCAAGGACAAUGGACACAGAUGAUUUUUUGGUGAUGUUACUUGUUAUCUGGAUGAUGGAAAGGAUGAGGAUUUGGUAUACUUCGAUUUUCAAAUAUUUUGUGAUAAAAUGCCACACUGGAGAUGAUCUAAAAAAAUCUUAUCUCUAAGUAUUGGGGAAUGAAUAAUUUGAUUGUAGGGUGGUUGGUUAAAAGAAAGGGAUAUAAAAAGUCGAGAAUUACACCAUACAUCCAUAGCUGGUUCAAUUUUCAGAUCAAGCAAUUGAAAAAAUAAUGUGUUGAAAAUGGCACAUUACCAACACAGCAAUAAAUUGGAUGCUGCAGCAAAUGCCCUAAGAGAGAGAAAAAGAAUUAAAAAGCUCGAGGUGUUAUUCCAAAAGAAAACAAAAAUAU